UACGUAGGGUGCAAGCGUUGUCCGGAAUUAUUGGGCGUAAAGAGCUCGUAGGCGGUUUGUCGCGUCGACUGUGAAAACCCGAGGCUUAACCUCGGGCCUGCAGUCGAUACGGGCAGACUAGAGUUCGGUAGGGGAGACUGGAAUUCCUGGUGUAGCGGUGAAAUGACGCAGAUAUCAGGAGGAACACCGGUGGCGAAGGCGGGUCUCUGGGCCGAUACUGACGCUGAGGAGCGAAAGCGUGGGGAGCGAACAGG
rnacentral:rRNA from 1 species